UAAUGAAAAAUGAUUCUUUUCUUUUUGUGUUUUUUCUGUAAUAAAACUAAUAAUUUUUUUAAAAAAAACAUAGUAAUGUAUUUGGAGACAGAUGUUAUUUUCUAUGCUAUGUCAAGGUAACGUUGGAAGAGCCUUUAGCUUCCAUUGUGACAAAGCAGACCAAAACUGCUUCCAGAUGCAGUCUUUUUAUUUGUAUGUAAAGAUAUAAAGGGAAUAAUAUUUCUUUUAUUAUAUAAUUUACCAAAAGUAGAAAAGAGGCUGAAAACUGAAUCUAGAGAUCUAGAAUAAACAUGAACUAAGAUGAAAUACAGUAGCUGAGAAUUGAUAAGCUUUUACUGAGAUGGCCAAAACUUUUGCACGCCCACUUAUGUGUGUCUGUUUAGAUCCAGGUGUUUCCCCCACACAGCCAAUUCAAACCACAUUUUGAAUUCCUUUGUGUUUUUGGUGUAAAUUGCAGAGGCAUGAUGGGUUGACAAAGCAAAAAUCUAAACAGAAACAAACAGGUGGUGUAAGAAUCUUCCUCCUUCUACCCUUGCCUAUUUCUGAUGACAUAAAUUUAUAAGUUGGUAACUGACUUUUAAAGAAAAUAAAUUUUAAUAUGAAAAGCAGAAAUCCUAACCAUGCAAUUAUUUUUUUCAAGCAUUUUUAAUCCAGACCUGGCUGGGGAAUUCUGGGAGUUGAAGUCCACAAGUCUUAAAGUUCUCAAGUUUGGACACCCCUGGAUUAGAAGGUCCCUUCCUACUCUGUUGCUUUGUUUUGUUAUUACUUUCCUGCAGAGUUUACGUCUCAGUGAGAGAUUAUUGGUUUAAGAGCCUGUUUGCUUUACUGCUGGUUUGAUGAAAAUCUCUUUCCGAUGACCCCAGAGGAUAGAACUGCUAACAAGGAUACGAGAUGGGUUUGUUGUAAAAACUACAGAUUGCAAACUUGUAUUGCAAGUUUAUCAGUAAAGAAAUAAAAAAAAUGUCUUUUUCUACAUCAAAAACUUUAUUUUCCUCCAGCUUUAACCCUAUUGGAAUGCUGUUUCAUUUUUUUGAGUUUAGCAAAUGCUUCUCUUCUUUGUGAUAUGUGUGCUUGAGUUUAUUCUGAACUGCCUAGUAAUUUUGCAGGUUUCAUACCGUAGUACAAUGAUGAAGUCACUCUCAGAUAUACACAUAGACAUAACACAAAAAAAUGUGCUUUCUUUUCCUGUGAAUUGGUUUGUAGAAUGGCCCGGACUAAUGCAUUCCACCCACGCCAGAUAGCUAAAAGUUAAUUGGUGCCUGCUGAUGAAGAUGAGAUUACUUAGUUGAGUAAGGAGGGGUAGCUAGUUGGAUAAUGAUGUCAACAAGUCAUAUAAUGAAACAUCUGCAAGCAAGCAACCAAGCUCAGCGAGCACCAAGGACUUCACAGUUCAACCCUGAGCUACAGAGCAAUAGAUCUCUUCUAUUGAAUAGUGUUUGACUGAAAGUGAUUGCUAUGAGCUGCAAAUCAUGAUAAUGUCAACAGCAUUGAUGGGGUCCUAUAAAAGAUUGAUGAAUUCCAACCGCUUCAAUAGUAACUUGGAAGCAGUCAUCCCAUCCUGAGUUUGGAAGUCAAAAUAUCCCAAAGUACAGUUGAGAUGAGAAAAUUGGCAGAAAACAGCAUGAGAGGAAAUUAUAUUCCAUUCCAUGCAUAAAAGAAAGAUUUUUCUCAAACCAUGAAGAUUGGGGAACUCAUUUGAUAAAAGGACAUAUCCUGCAACCUUAUAAGUUACAAGCUUUGCUUCCUCAUCAUUAAUUCCACCUUUCUAUUAUUUCGACCUUCAUUAAAAAAGCUUCUCAAAUGGUAGUUGAUCCUUGUUACAACAUACACAAAA